rnacentral:rRNA from 1 species
CCCAGACUCCUACGGGAGGCAGCAGUGGGGAAUAUUGCACAAUGGGGGGAACCCUGAUGCAGCGACGCCGCGUGGGUGAAGGAGUACUUCGGUACGUAAAGCCCUAUCAGCAGGAAAGAAAAUGACGGUACCUGACUAAGAAGCCCCGGCUAACUACGUGCCAGCAGCCGCGGUAAUACGUAGGGGGCAAGCGUUAUCCGGAUUUACUGGGUGUAAAGGGAGCGUAGACGGCAGUGCAAGUCCGGAGUGAAAGCCCGGGGCUCAACCCUGGGACUGCUCUGGAAACUGUAAAGCUGGAGUGCGGGAGGGGCAGGCGGAAUUCCUGGUGUAGCGGUGAAAUGCGUAGAUAUCAGGAGGAACACCGGCGGCGAAGGCGGCCUGCUGGACCGUAACUGACGUUGAGGCUCGAAAGCGUGGGGAGCAAACAGGAUUAGAUACCCUGGUAG